GGGAAUGUAGCUCAGUGGUAGAGUGCUUGUCUAGCAUGCAUGAAGCCCUAGGUUCGAUUCCUCAGAAUCACA
rfam:Dipodomys ordii contig_41999, whole genome shotgun sequence.